AAACCAGCACCUCAAGUGGUCAGGAUGAUUAUUGGGCCUAAAGCAUCCGUAGCCGGCUCUGUAAGUUUUCGGUUAAAUCUGUACGCUUAACGUACAGGCUGCUGGGAAUACUGCAGGGCUAGGGAGUGGGAGAGGUAGACGGUACUCGGGAGGAAGUGGUAAAAUGCUUUGAUCUCUCGAUGACCACCUGUGGCGAAGGCGGUCUACCAGAACACGUCCGACGGUGAGGGAUGAAAGCUGGGGGAGCAAACCGGAUUAGAAACCCGGGUAGUCC
rnacentral:rRNA from 1 species